rnacentral:sRNA from 1 species
AGCGAAUGGAGGAACAAGAGACAAGGCCUAGUGCGGUCACCCCAGCAGACUUAAGACACAGGUAUGUGAAGGACAAAGAGGUCCCACACUCUACACCAGCAAGCAAAUCUGCUGCCACUGAAUCAUCAGGAAGGAGUGCAGAGAUUAGUGACAGCUAAAGGAAGCACCAAGUCCAGCUCCUAACAGCCUGUCAGAAACCUCUGUGUGUGCAGCGAAGACCCCACAGCCCAUACAGACAAUGCUCUCAGCGGUUCUCAACUUCCUGGUGCUUCAACUCUUCAAUACAGUUCCUCAU